GUCCUGAGAUAGCUGCAAAAGUCCUCCAUCAAAUCCAGACACAACAACCGCAGGGGCAUUGUUGGCUCUGGUUAGAGCAGGAAGCUUCUCCCAUAUCAUACAUCAGCUGUCAAACAGCCCCAGCCCAAACCAGUUACAGGCGAGAGCAACACUGCCACCGCGGCUGAGUCACACUGACCACGGGCCCCUCACCCCAGAAAGCAAUCACCCCGGAGAAGGACACAGAUAAAUGAACGCCGCCGCCAGGCUACUGCUGGAAACCAGGAAGUGCCUGCUCAGUGCGCACACCUAGAGACUGAUGUGAGAGUCAGCGGGAGCGGGACGAGAGCCGGAAGAUGUCAUUUCCUCGGCUUGCAGACCUCAGUAUUGCUCCUUUUCACAAUUUUGUAAUACAUUGAAAUAUGGCUUAUUCUUUUUAAUGCUACUUAUAAUCAGGAAUAAGAUUAAUGCAUGAAUCAACCCAUGUUAUUAAGGAAUUCAAAUGCAGAAUAAGACCAAAUCAUUCCUGACCACAUCUGAUCCCACACGCCUGCCUGAACAGCUGCUUUGUCUGCUGCUGUGGUGUUCAGAAGAGCACCUGAGGAGGCAUGUCUCACUGACUUCCAUUUAGUUAGCACACUCCAUGCGCCCCUCUGCAAACACUGGCUACAGUCAUCCUUUCCCAAAGUUAACUGCUCUCAAAGAAAUCGGUCUCUAAUUGCAUCACAGUCUUUGGAGUUUGGAGCUCACUGUGCUUUCAAGUCCAUGAUUGCCAUUUGCAUUUCAACACUUCUCGCCUGAAUUUAAUUUGCAUGCUCGUAUGGUCCCGCACUCACCAGCUC